AUUGAACGCUGGCGGCAGGCCUAACACAUGCAAGUCGAACGGCAGCACAGAAGAGCUUGCUCUUUGGGUGGCGAGUGGCGGACGGGUGAGUAAUGUCUGGGAAACUGCCCGAUGGAGGGGGAUAACUACUGGAAACGGUAGCUAAUACCGCAUAACGUCGCAAGACCAAAGCGGGGGACCCUCGGGCCUCACACCAUCGGAUGUGCCCAGAUGGGAUUAGCUAGUAGGUGGGGUAAUGGCUCACCUAGGCGACGAUCCCUAGCUGGUCUGAGAGGAUGACCAGCCACACUGGAACUGAGACACGGUCCAGACUCCUACGGGAGGCAGCAGUGGGGAAUAUUGCACAAUGGGCGCAAGCCUGAUGCAGCCAUGCCGCGUGUAUGAAGAAGGCCUUCGGGUUGUAAAGUACUUUCAGCGGGGAGGAAGGCGGUGAGGUUAAUAACCUCGCCGAUUGACGUUACCCGCAGAAGAAGCACCGGCUAACUCCGUGCCAGCCGCCGCAGUAA
rnacentral:rRNA from 1 species